rfam:Glossina brevipalpis unplaced genomic scaffold Scaffold14, whole genome shotgun sequence.
GGGGGAGGUUUAGUACGUAGGCGCCAUGGACGGCGAGUCGUGCAUGCUGCUGGUACGGGCCGGUAGUAUGUUUGGGAGAUUCCUACCUCC